UUGAUACCUCGAUUUUGUUAUAGUCAUGUCUUUGCCCAUUUCAGAACUUUGAAAACCCUUUUAGUAUACAUUUUUUUACAUGCAUAGUAGUUCUUGAACAGGGUUUUGCCGAUUUUACAGGAACCUAGUUUUGGCUUCUGAUAAAAAAAAAAAAAAAAAGUGACUGGAAUGUUAAGUGUUGUAGUUUAGGACUGAUAGAGUAUAAUCUUUUCAUUGUCUAAAAUGGUGAACGUUUUUAUAACCUGCCUUGCUGCUUGUCUGUUGCACAUGUUGCCCAGUGCACCUACCUCCAUUUCUUGGUGCUAUCAUAAGGCUUCAUGUAGUGACCUCGUUUGGCCCAUAAUCGCAGAAAAAGACUGUAAUGGAACUCAACAGUCUCCCAUAGACAUUGUAACCACCAAUGUGCAGGCUAAUACUACUCUGACUCCUUUCACCUUUACCGGCUACAAUCAAGAUGCAACCUUAACUGAAAUCACAAACACUGGCACCACAAUUCAAGUUACACUUGAUCACAAGAAAAUGCAUGUGGAAGGAGGUGGUCUGCCAGGCCUGUUUGCAAGUACUCAGUUUCACUUUCACUGGGGUAAUGGCAGCACCACACCUGGAUCUGAACAUCGUGUGAAUGGCAAACAAUACCCUAUGGAGUUGCAUAUCGUGAGUAAGGCUGAACACAAUGGCAGUCUGCCCAAUGAUUCGAUAUUAGCAGCUUUUGGUUUCUUCAUUGAGGCCUCUAAUGACACUGGGAAACCAGAGAGCUGGAAAAUCUUAACGUCUAAUCUCACAGAAAUUGCCAGUGCAGGUGAUAAAACGCGUGUUUCCGACAAGCUCACCAUGGAUGAUUUGCUUUCUGGAGUGGACCGUACUAAGUAUUACCGCUAUCUUGGGUCUUUGACUACACCAAACUGCGACGAAGGUGUAAUUUGGACCAUCUUUAAAGACCCCAUUAAAGUCAGCCAAGAUUUGAUUGACCUCUUCACUACGACUGUCUACAUCAACAAAACCUCCAACUCCCCUCUAAUGACCAACACGUUCAGGGGUGUUCAGCCCAUCAAUGGCAGGAUUGUGAUGUCCCAGAUAGCGGGUACCAAAAUUACUGGCCUCCUAAUGCCAACAUCGGCUAAAAAAACCUCUGCUAUUAUAAUGCCAACAUCGGCUAACAAAACCACUGCUAUUAUAAUGCCAACAUCGGCUAACAAAACCACUGCUAGUAUAAAGCCAACAUCGGCUAACAAAACCACUGCUAUUAUAAAGCCAACAUCGGCUAACAAAACCACUGCUAUUAUAAUGCCAACAUCGGCUAACAAAACCACUGCUAGUAUAAAGCCAACAUCGGCUAACAAAACCACUGCUAGUAUAAAGCCAACUCCGGCUACCAAAACCACUGCUAUUAUAAAGCCAACAUCUGCUACCAAAACUACUGGCCUUAAGCCAAAAUUGGGUCUUAAAACUACUAGAAUUUUAAAGCCAGCAUCAACCGCAACAACCCUAUCCCAGGCUUACAUUUUUCCUCUGAGUGUCGUUAUGCUGUACGGUGUUCUAUCUUUGUAAAUGGUUCACAAAAUGCUGAGAUUAACAUGGCAUAAUGUUAUUUGUAUAAAAAAAAAAAACAUCUGCAAUGUCAAUUUUUAACGGAUUUAAUGUUGUAAAGGUUUAAUUUCAUUGUAUUCCAGUGUUUCCUUGUUUUUGGCUAGUUUCCUGAGAUGGUUUAAUAUGAAACUGCCUUUCAGGUUGUGCACUACAGGUCUUAUUUUGUUGCAGUGCUGGGUGUGUUUCAUAGAGGGUUAAAUGUUUGACUUUCAUGCACAGCUUUGAAAGCAUUUGAGCUGCUUGUAGUCUUCGCAUAAAUGCACUUAUUGUGACAUGACUUUAGUGUCUGCUUUACAGAUUGAAAUGCAAUGGUUUUUGAACAAUGUAGGCAACAUGCUGAGGAUGUGUCACUAAAUCAACCUUUUUAUUUUUUAGAAAAAAAGACUCCCUUAAAGUUAAACCAUAUCUAGUGCUUGUGACUGGUUUCUCACUCUGAUUUUGGUUUGUAGGUUCUCAUCGGUGUCACUGUAAUUGCUGGAUUUGUGUUAAGUGCGCACAAGGUGUCCUUGUCUGCUGUGUGAAUGUCAAUGGUUUUUCAAAACUCUUUUUUUUUUUUUUUUUUUUUUUUUUUUUUAAAUUAACUUGUCUUUUAAGCUUAAUUCAUUAAAGUUUAUUAAAACCAUUUAUGGUAUAAAAAAA